rnacentral:rRNA from 1 species
GACGAACGCUGGCGGCGUGCUUAACACAUGCAAGUCGAACGGAAAGGCCUUUUCGGAGGUACUCGAGUGGCGCACGGGUGAGUAACACGUGGGUGAUCUGCCCUGCACUCUGGGAUAAGCCUGGGAAACUGGGUCUAAUACCGGAUAGGACCGCACUUUAGUGUGUGUGGUGGAAAGUUUUUUCGGUGUAGGAUGAGCCCGCGGCCUAUCAGCUUGUUGGUGGGGUAAUGGCCUACCAAGGCGGCGACGGGUAGCCGGACGGAGAGGUUGGUCGGGCACAUUGGGACUGAGAUACGGCCCAGACUCCUACGGGAGGCAGCAGGGGGGAAUAUUGCACAAUGGGCGCAAGCCUGAUGCAGCGACGCCGCGUGGGGGAUGACGGCCUUCGGGUUGUAAACUCCUUUCGCCAGGGACGAAGCGUUUUGUGACGGUACCUGGAGAAGAAGCACCGGCUAACUACGUG